GGGAAGAGGAGAUCACAAUGGAGAACGCGCGCCCUGCCUGACCUUUCGGUAGUCUCCCACCCGGUCUCUCUGGACGAGUCCCGCUCCGCUGUUCCCGCCGGACUCCUGGAGGCUUGGCAGUACAAGCUCAGCACACUAAAAAACACUCACUCCGACCUACACCUGAAGUGCUGAAGCCCAGAGACAAGAUGAUCCCGUUUCCACAGGGAUCGCUCUCCUACCGCAACCGCAUGGGGAUCCCAACUCUGCGGCUCCCCUCCGCGGCCAGGGAGGGCCCUGCACCCCCAACGCCCGAAAAUAAGCUCGCCCCCAGGCGGCCUCCCAAGUCCCAGCGCCAGGAACCCCGGGGCGCUCUGACAACCGCGGCAGCCUCGGGCGCGACAGACGGCAUCUUCCUGCGGUAAAGCGCUCUCAGCCGCCUUCCUGCACCGGGAGCCGGUCAGCUCGCUUCGCCCUCCCACCGAGGAAGCGCAGCGCCACCGAUACCCGGAUGCUGGCCGGGUCCGCGCACGCACGUCUUCUGCCCGCGCCGUGCCGUCGCCCACUUUCAGCUCAGCCUCCUCGGGUGCCGCGGCAGCCGCGCCGGCCACGUCUCCGCGUCCCUUUUCCUGGGCACUGCCUGCCCAUUUUCUACUCCUCCUACUCGCUCCCUCCGGCUGUUAACUUAUCCUAGUAGUUUAGCUCACUCAUUUCCUCCCUGAAUCAGAAUCCAGCCACUUACCAAGCACUCACGCUUCUAUUUUUGUAUCUGCCCAUGCUACUUUUUGUAUGCUCCUGACAGCCUUUGUGGACAAAGGAAGUUGUAAGAAGGGAGAAUGAAAAUGAAAAACAAAACAAAACUUUCUUACCCACAGAAAAGUUGCAAAAAUAAUACAAAGAAUUACCAUGACCAUACACACAUUACCCAGAUUUACCAAUUUCAAUUAUUUUGCGACAUUUGUUCCUCCUCUCUCUCAAACUGUAAGCACACAUAGAUUAUUUUUUCUAACCAAUUUCAGAACAACUUGCAUACCUUUAUAUCUUAUCUCUAAUAAUUCAGUAUGUAUUUCUUAAGGGAAGGGAUACGGACCACAUUCAAAUUUCACCAAUCAUUCAAAAAAUGUCCUUUAGAGCAACUUUUCCCCCAGUCCGGGAUGUGGGCAGGAUCUUAAGAGUUCAUUUAGUGUUUUUGUUUGUCUAGUGUCCUUUAAUCUGAAAUGUUUCUUAACUUUUCUUUAUUCAGGGCAUUGACAGAUUUUGAAGAAUUCAGGCCCGCUGUUGAAUAGAAUGCCCUUCAUUUUGGGUUUAUCUGAUGUUUCCUCAUGAUUAGAUUGAGGUUAUGCACUUUUGGCAAAAAUAUAAAUAAUGUUGUGUUCUCAGUGUAUCACACAAGGUUUUUUCCUUAAUUGGUGGUGUUAACUAAAUGCAGUCUUCCCACAUUCAGUUAGUUUAUAAUCUGUAGGGACAUAAUUGGGGCCAUAUAAAUGUCCUAUUGCUCAUUUAAAUUUUAUCCAUAGUUUUAGAAUUGAUUAAAGAAUUUUUCCCUCAAUCAGUCAUUGCUAUUAUGUAGCACAAUGGUGAUAUUAUUCUUUAAAUCUAGUCUCCCACGUUUAUUUUUCAUUCUUUUUAAAAUUGAGAUACAAUUGACAUGUAACACUAUAUAGAGUUUCAGGUGUACAACAUAAUGAUGUUAUUUGUCUAUAUUACAAAGUGAUCACCAAAAUAAACCUAGUAAACACCCAUCACCACACAGUUACAUAUUUUUUCUUGUGAUGAGAACUUUUAACCAUACAGUAUUACUAACUAUAGUCACCAUGCUGUCCCAUACAUCUCUAGGGCUUAUUUUCUUCCACAUUUAUUCAUUAGUAUAUUACUGUUAAAAAGAAACCAAAACAAAGGCUACAGUUUGAAUAUACCCCUCUGCCAAACAUUCAAUACCAUAACCAAAUUUACCACAACCAAUCACAUAACCAAAACUUAAAACUGUCCUGAUUUCUCCAAAAUGCUGACUCUGAACUUAAAGUUUAAGAUUUCUUCAUGUCAGUGUGACUGUAUAGCUAGCUUCCUAGUCAAUCAGCUACAAACAAGCUUAUGCAGUAAUACUACCAUAAAUGAAAUGUCAGUUUCUAGUCAUAACAGAAAAAAAAUGUACUUCCUCAUUUAUGCUUUACAAACCGAGCUGUUACAGCUGAGAGUCAAGCUUCUAUGACUUCUGAUUUUGAAAUCUCCCUGCUCAUGAAGAAUUUCUUACUCAAUAAAAUAUUCAUAUCAAGUAAA